rnacentral:rRNA from 1 species
UACGGAGGGUGCAAGCGUUAUCCGGAUUCACUGGGUUUAAAGGGUGCGUAGGCGGGCAGGUAAGUCAGUGGUGAAAUCUCCGGGCUUAACCCGGAACUGCCGUUGAUACUAUCUGUCUUGAAUAUCGUGGAGGUAAGCGGAAUAUGCCAUGUAGCGGUGAAAUGCUUAGAUAUGACAUAGAACACCCAUUGCGAAGGCAGCUUACUACACGAUCAUUGACGCUGAGGCACGAAAGCGUGGGGAGCAAACAGG